AGUGACAAAUCCCUUUCUCUCUCCCACCCUACCCGAUCCAUACUUGCCUUUCCCCCUCUCUCUCGCAUGCCCUCUGCUAGGCCCAAACAGCUGCCCUCCGAUGGUCGCCGCCGUGCAGACACCGGAUCAGGAGUGGCAGACACCGCCGAAACUCCAGCCUCGCGAGCCCUUCGUUGCCGUUCUCCGCAGCGAGCAGAGGCCUCCAGGCUCGUACUUUUGGACAAGUAAAGGAUCAUUGGGGCAUUGAACAAUCUGAGGUAUGCCCCUCAAUCUCUCGCAGCUAGUGGAGCGGUGGCCUCGCAGGGGUCGCGACGGUGGUCUCGGUCAUUGAUGGUCUCGACAGAGGUGAGAUGCGUGGGUCUCAUGGCUGGUCUUGACAGAGAAAUGCCCCACUAAUUUCUAAAAGGAAAAGGAUUUUGGAUUGAACAAAGUUGUGCUUCACCAAUUAGAAAAGAGGGUUUAAAUUAAUUAAGAAGGCCAGAUUGACUUGUAGAGAAGAUGGAAAUCAGCAGAAGGUUGGGCAGCCAAAUCCAUUUAGAAGCAGGGAUGAUUUUAAAAAAGAAAUUCAUGGCAACCAAUCCUUACUUUGGAAAGUCUAUUGGUGGUGAGGGUGAGUACAAGGACAAGAAGAAGAAAAAUAUGUUAUUUGACAAUGAAUUUAGUGUUUUAUUUUAUUUAUAAUUUUUAUUAGAGUAAAUGAUUCUUUUUCGAGUAGUUAAUUAUUUACUUUGUAAAUCUAGUUAUAUAUUUUUUAAGGGCAAGACGAUUAUGUUUAUAAACAAGACUAUAUGAUUUUUGAGUCAAGUAGUAGUGUUAUAUUUGUUCCAAAAUUUGUUUUAUUAGAUUUGUAAAUACUUUGUAUAAGUUUUGUUAUUUUAAUCUAUAAUUUUUUAGAUUUGUAUAUAAAUAUUUUAUUUAAAUCAUAAUUUUUAAUUUAAAAUAAAAAUAAAUAAACUUUUUUAAAAUUAAAUUUUUUUGCAAGCAACGGCGACACCUAAUAAUUGUCAGCGUUGCCAGCAACAGCUGAUGAGUCUAGUUUUUAUGAUGUCUUGGUGAUGUUUUUAGUAGUCUUUUAUUUUGUUUUUCCUUGUUUUAGUGCGGGUUUACGCUUUGUUUGGUUGUUUUUGUGAAUAUCAGGAAGAAUUGAGCAUGUGGAAGGAAAUGCCAAAGAAAGGGAAGAAAUAAUCGAGUUUUUCAUCAUAUUUUGAUCAAGAAUGGUUCUCAAUACCAUUUGGAAGUGUUGGUGAAAUUUUGGGAUGAAAACUUGAAGAAUUCCUUAAGAGCCACGGCAUGAUCAAAGUAGGGCCGCGGCUAGGGGGAGAAACAGAAGCAUGGUUUUUGAGGACAUCUUCGGGCCGCGGCAUGGCUAGGUAGAGCCGCGGCAUGGAUGGGCAUUCUGCCCAGAAGACAAUGAUGCGGGCCGCGGCAUGGUUUCAGAGAGCCGCGGCAUUGAAAGGAUAGUAUGCCCAGAAAUUUUGACACGGGCCGCGGCAUAGUGUAUGUAGAGCCGCGGCCCGCCUCUCUAAAAUCUAAAAAUCCUAGGUUUUAAAGGACGAAAAAGAAGAGAGAAGGACGUACGGACGAAGGGAGGAGUUCUGGUGUUGAAGGCUCAAGCUUAGAGUAUUUUUACAUGUUUUUCUUCUUGAUGUUAUCUUUAAAUUCUGUUGUGAUUAGCACUAUGACUAUGAACUAAUUUUCUGUUUAGGAUGUUCAAUUGAAUCACUUGAAUUUCUAUUAUGACCUAAUGCAAUUUUAAUUUCCUCUU